rnacentral:rRNA from 1 species
UACGGGGGGGGCAAGCGUUGUUCGGAAUUACUGGGCGUAAAGGGCUCGUAGGUGGCCAACUAAGUCAGACGUGAAAUCCCUCGGCUUAACCGGGGAACUGCGUCUGAUACUGGAUGGCUUGAGUGUGGGAGAGGGAUGCGGAAUUCCAGGUGUAGCGGUGAAAUGCGCAGAUAUCGGGAAGAACACCCGUGGCGAAGGCGGCUCUCUGGGCCUGACCUGACGCUGAGGAGCGAAAGCGUGGGGAGCGAACAGG